rnacentral:rRNA from 1 species
CGGUAAUACCAGCUCUCCGAGUGGUAGGGAUGAUUAUUGGGCUUAAAGCGUCCGUAGCCGGCUUAGCAAGUCUCCUGUUAAAUUCAGCGACCUAAUCGUUGAGCCGCGGGAGACACUACUAGGCUAGGAGGCGGGAGAGGCCGACGGUAUUCUCGGGGUAGGGGUGAAAUCCUAUAAUCCCGGGAGGACCACCAGUGGGGAAGGCUGUCGGCUAGAACGCG